GAAAAAAAGGCAUAUCAAAAUAAAGAACAAAAGAUAUACCAAAAUGUUAACAGUGGUGGGAUCAUUCAUCAUUUUUCUUCCUUCUUUUUGCUUAUUUGCAUUUUGUACAGUGCCCAUGUCUUGUUUAUUUAAAGUGUUCUAAAGCAUUCAAGAUGCAUCUUGCCCUCAAAAAACAUGGAUAGAGUGAGUGGGCAGGAAAUGGGACAAGACAAGCUGAAAAAUGACAACUCUGACACAAGUGCAGACCGUGAUCAUUUCCCUAAGAGGCUUAAAUGCUGUCAGGGUUAAGAGGAAAUUGCGAUGACCUUGACAGAUGAGAGACCAGGUCACAGAGGUACCAUCCUUGAAGCACAGGAGGGUUUCUCCAGGGAGCAGGACCUCAGAGAGUGGGAAGCAUAAAGGUGGGGAGACAACAAGAAGUCUUCACAUUUUCUAUUUUCUCUUCAUUGAGACCAUUUCAGUGACUUUGCUUGCUAUUCACAGGGCUCUGGCUCUCUAACCUCCUACCCCAACAAGGCAAAGGAUCAGGGCUUACCAGGAGGUGGGGAUGCUGGGGGAGGGCAGAGUGGCAGAGGGAACAUCUCUGAUGAGACAUGCUGGGGGAGCCCCACGAUGCUGGAGCACAAUAAUGGGAGCCAAGAAGGAUGGGAAGUCUGAGAAGGAAGUCCAGUCACAUCAUGAUUCCAUGGGCAGGAGAAGUAGCUGGGUACAAAGAGGUAAACUGGAGGGCCCAGUGCGCAGAUAGGCCCCAACAGAGUGGGACCAACCUGGGGGCAUUUAUUAAAAGCCUUUGCCAGCUGGGUGCAGUGGCUCAUGCCUGUAAUCCCAGCACUUUGGGAGGCCAAGGUCGGAGAAUCCCUUGAGACUAGGAGUUUGAGACCAGUCUAGACAACAUAGUGAGACCCCUGUCUCUAUAAAAAAAAUUGAAAAAAUUAGCCAGGCAUGGUGGCACAUACCUGUGGUCCCAGCUACUUGGGAAGCUGAGGUGGGAGCAUCACUUGUGCCCAGCGGUUUGAGACUGCAGUGAGCUCUGAUGACACCACUGCACUACAUACAGCCUGGGUGA
rnacentral:lncRNA from 10 species